rnacentral:rRNA from 1 species
UACGAGGGGGGCAAGCGUUGUUCGGAAUUAUUGGGCGUAAAGGGUGCGUAGGCGGUUUGACAAGUCUGAUGUGAAAUCUAUGGGCUCAACCCAUAGUCUGCAUCGGAAACUGUCGGGCUUGAGUGUGGGAGAGGUGAGUGGAAUUUCCGGUGUAGCGGUGAAAUGCGUAGAUAUCGGAAGGAACACCUGUGGCGAAAGCGGCUCACUGGACCAUUACUGACGCUGAUGCACGAAAGCGUGGGGAGCGAACAGG